rnacentral:ncRNA from 2 species
UUGAAUAUUGUGGGAAUAGGUGCUCUGAUAUACAAGUGUAUAUCACGAGCUUAAAAGGGAAGUCCGGUGUAAUGCCGGCGCGGUCCCGCCACUGUAACAGAGGAGUUUAUCUCAAUGAAGGCCACUGAUCCGCCAGGAUUGGGAAGGCAAGCAGAUAAACGUUGAUUCUGGAGCCAGGAGACCUGCCUGUUCUGACAGCACUGC